AGAAACCCGGAGACGCCGUCGUGUAUGUGGUUCCCGCUGGCGUUUCUGUUGCCCUCGGCCCCCUCAGCUGUCCCCCAGUUGGUGGUCCUGAGUCGCCUCUCCAGCCGAGCCCCGUGCAGUGCCGCGACAUCCCCCGGUAUUGGCGAGGCUGGGCCCCGGCCCCGACGCCGCGCGCGUCACGCCUAGCCCAACUGUUUGGACUCGCCACUCAACCGCUGUCUUCUUUCCCAGGACUGUUUCUCGGGGGGCCUCGGGCUUGCGAGCUCGCCCGGCGCCGGAGCGCUCCGGCCCGGCCAGGGAGCGGCCCCUUGUAGAGGUUCGAGGAGCUAUCGCGGUCCAUCCCGGCGCCCGACCCUCCCACCGUUCGGCCACUGGCCCACUUCUUCCUGAUGCAGACUGCCGUCCACUAGAGGCUGGACAGGACCCCCGAGGUGCGUAGCCGCCCCUGGCCGCCGGCCUGCGGAGCCCAGGCUUUGCUCGCGGCCCCGAGGAAGGCACGGGUUCCGUGGCCCUCACCGCACUGGCCGCACUCAAACAUUUUGUAGAUGCUGGGAGCUAAUUUGUCUUUUGAGUUUACUUAAAUUGUUUGAAAUGUAAAUUUUUUUCUGGUGGGAGGGGGGAGAGAGAGAGAGAGAGAGAGAGAGAGAGAGAGAGAGAGGAGAAAAAAAGGAAGAAGCAUAAUUCAGCCAUUUUUUGCAGCAUAGAGCUGCAGGUACCAUGAUUAUUUCCCCCUUAACCGGUUCCUUCCCUUUAAAAAUCCUGUUUGUGCCUUAAAUAGAACUAUGCGAAAUGUGCGGCAUAAUGCGUGCGGCAUAAUCAGAAUGUCUGGGUCCGACUGGGCGACUGAGAAAAUCUCGCACUGAGGAGAUCUCGGACGGAGCCUCAGUUUCUUAUCUAUGCGGUGUAGUCGAUAAUAGCCACAUCAGAGAGGUAGUGAGGACUAUAUGAGGUCAUAUAUGUGAAAAUAAUCUAUAGCUGUAUAGUGGUGUAGGAAAAUGUAAGGUCAUUUUCUUUAGGUAACCUUUGCUUGAGUGGUUAAUGUGGCUAACUGUUGCUGCCUCUUCAUUUCUAUAUUAUAAGUAAAUAAGGACUAGCAGAACAGCGCAGUGAUGGAUAGCUGUUUAAUAGUCAGUGUUCGUUGGCCUUCCCUCUACAAAAUGCCAACUGCUUAUUUAAAUAACGGUAUCCUUUAAUUCAAAUUUAAUGUUACUGUAGGGCUUUUCAUCUUUCUAGGCCUCUCAGCCCCCUUUCUUAUUCAGAAUAUUUAACACCUUAUAUUUAUUUAGUCUUUUUUAUUUUUAAGAGGUUCACUUCCUUUGUCAAUCUGAUUUACUGUUGUCAUUUUAAAAGCGUGUGUGUUUUUUAAUUUCAGUGUUUGCUUUUCGUAUCUACAGAACAGGAUGACUGAAUACUUCUAAUCAUUUGAAAAUGGUUUUUCAAGAGCUUACACAUGCAUCCAUGUUUCUCUAAUGCUCAGUAGAUCCAGCAAUGUACAGGGAAUUUCAACUUGUUAGCACUUCAUGCAAUAUUUGAGGAAUUCAGUUCUUGUUUUUAAUCACAGCACUUAGUAGGUGCUUUGAGUCCCAUUUCAUCAGUGGUAAAGGAUGUUAAUACUCUUUACUACCUGUUAAUUGGCAAGAAAUAAGAUAGUAAAUAUUUGUGGCUCGAAAAUAGAAUUUACUUUCUAGAGUUUCAAAACUGUAGAAUGUUUUGGCUUAUAAUAGUCAAUUAAAAGCGAAAGGAGCAUUUUGGAGUAUAUUAUUUUUAGUCUUCUUUUUUUUUCUGAGUAGAUGUUAAAAUUUUAAUUCCCUGGUCUGAUGCCAGUGGUCUUUCACAGUAUGCUUGUGUAUUUUUUAAAAAGACAGAUUAGGUUGGAAAAGGAACAGCCAGCUUUAAAGUGACUGCUUUUAUAUUUUGGCUUUAUCCCUUGUUCUGAAGAUAAUUUUCACAGAUCACUACUUUACUGAGCAUUUCUGAGUUUGACCUCUCUGCCUUGCUGUGGGUUAUCAUGGAGCCAAGGCUGACUUGACUGGCUUCAUGGAUGUUCAGAAGCCAGGCUUUAGACUUGGUUUAAUGAUGUGUGUAAACCAGCAUCGCACAAUAUAAAUAAUGGUAGAAUUUGUGCUAAGAAUUGAAAAUUUUUAUUUUUCUUUAUUUAGGACAACAUAUACCAACAAGUAGAAACAUAUCAUGACAAGUCAAGAGAGAUGGGAGAAAGGAAAAGAUGUUAUAUUUUAGUUCCUUUAACAGUUUCCCCCUGAUUUUAGCUCUGUCCCUGUGAUGUUGGUGGCCUAUGGUCAGGUUUGGGGACUGAAUGUUACAUGAGGACAAUGACUCUUGACCUGGGUGGGGGAUGUGCUGUAGAUUAAUUCGCUGUCAGACAUUUCCUCAGAAGUAGAGUGCUAUAGGCCAUUUGGGCUUUUUUAAAAUUAAAGAACAAAAGCUGGCCAUUAGUGAGGGCUUGUUGAAAUAGUGGUUUAUUAGGAAGGGGUAGAUCUCAGAAGACCCUAGCUCCAUAAUUUGAUAUCAUAACCUUAGGCCAGUAACUUAAUCUCAUAGUUUGGAUUUUUUCAUCUUUAAAUUGAAGUGGUUAUAGAACAUGGAAGUUUGUGAAGUAAAUUUGUCUGUACAUGAGGCAUUUACUAAGCAUUUCCUAUGUGCCACAUACUGUUCUAGGUGCUGGAGAUUCAGGUUAGUGUUAGUAGUUUUAACAAGGUUUUGUUUUCUCCCCCAGUCGUUCGCUAUAACCCAGGUUUGCCUUAAACUUGGGGUUAUCCUUGUGCCUCAGCCUCCCAUAGGCACAUGUAACUAUACCUGGUACAGAAAGUUAGUUUGGUGGCCCAUUUCUAUGGUUCUAGCACUAGGUGGUGGAGACAGUAGGGUCAGUUCAGAAUCUUCCUCAGCCUGGAAUAUGAGACCCUGUCUCAAAACAAAUUACUUCAGCAUAAAAUAUAGGGAAAAAAUAAGGCCGAGAGUGGAGAUAAAGAUUCUUUUUAGAUUCUUUAGAGGGUUUUGUAACUUCUAUUUAAGCUUUGUUUGUUUGCUUUUUUUUGAGACAGGGUUUCUCUGUGUAGUGUUGGCUGUCUUGGAACUCCUGUGUGUAGACCAGGCUAGCCUUGAACUCACAGAAAUCGACCUGCUCCUACCUCCUGAGUGCUGAGAAUAAAGGUGUGUGCCACCAAGUCCAUUGGGUUCUGUUAUUUUAAGACGGGUUUGGGACAAGGGCUCACUUCCUAGUGAUCUAAAGAGAGUCAUAGAUAUCUGGAUAGAGUGAUUCUAGCCAGAGAGGAACAACAAGUGGAGAGAGUCUGGUUUUCUAGGAACAGCAGC
rnacentral:lncRNA from 1 species